rnacentral:rRNA from 1 species
AACGAACGCUGGCGGCAGGCUUAAGACAUGCAAGUCGAACGCCCCGCAAGGGGAGUGGCAGACGGGCGAGUAACGCGUGGGAACAUGCCCCGAGGUACGGAACAACUCCGGGAAACUGGAGCUAAUACCGUAUGUGACCGAGAGGUGAAAGAUUUAUCGCCUUGGGAUUGGCCCGCGUUAGAUUAGCUAGUUGGUGGGGUAAAAGCCUACCAAGGCGACGAUCUAUAGCUGUUCUGAGAGGAAGAUCAGCCACACUGGGACUGAGACACGGCCCAGACUCCUACGGGAGGCAGCAGUCGGGAAUCUUGGACAAUGGGCGCAAGCCUGAUCCAGCCAUGCCGCGUGAAUGAUGAAGGCCUUAGGGUUGUAAAAUUCUUUCGCAGGGGACGAUAGUGACGGUACCCUGAUAAGAAGCUCCGGCUAACUUCGUGCCAGCCGCCGCGGUAAUAC